rnacentral:rRNA from 1 species
AUUGAACGCUGGCGGCAGGCUUAACACAUGCAAGUCGAACGAUGACUCUCUAGCUUGCUAGAGAAGAUUAGUGGCGGACGGGUGAGUAACAUUUAGGAAUCUGCCUAGUAGUGGGGGAUAGCUCGGGGAAACUCGAAUUAAUACCGCAUACGACCUACGGGUGAAAGGGGGCGCAAGCUCUUGCUAUUAGAUGAGCCUAAAUCAGAUUAGCUAGUUGGUGGGGUAAAGGCCCACCAAGGCGACGAUCUGUAACUGGUCUGAGAGGAUGAUCAGUCACACCGGAACUGAGACACGGUCCGGGCUCCUACGGGAGGCAGCAGUGGGGAAUAUUGGACAAUGGGGGCAACCCUGAUCCAGCCAUGCCGCGUGUGUGAAGAAGGCCUUUUGGUUGUAAAGCACUUUAAGCAGGGAGGAGAGGCUAAUGGUUAAUACCCAUUAGAUUAGACGUUACCUGCAGAAUAAGCACCGGCUAACUCUGUGCCAGCAGCCGCGGUAAUACAGAGGGUGCGAGCGUUAAUCGGAAUUACUGGGCGUAAAGCGAGUGUAGGUGGCUCAUUAAGUCACAUGUGAAAUCCCCGGGCUUAACCUGGGAACUGCAUGUGAUACUGGUGGUGCUAGAAUAUGUGAGAGGGAAGUAGAAUUCCAGGUGUAGCGGUGAAAUGCGUAGAGAUCUGGAGGAAUACCGAUGGCGAAGGCAGCUUCCUGGCAUAAUAUUGACACUGAGAUUCGAAAGCGUGGGUAGCAAACAGGAUUAGAUACCCUGGUAGUCCACGCCGUAAACGAUGUCUACUAGCCGUUGGGGUCCUUGAGACUUUAGUGGCGCAGUUAACGCGAUAAGUAGACCGCCUGGGGAGUACGGCCGCAAGGUUAAAACUCAAAUGAAUUGACGGGGGCCCGCACAAGCGGUGGAGCAUGUGGUUUAAUUCGAUGCAACGCGAAGAACCUUACCUGGUCUUGACAUAGUGAGAAUCCUGCAGAGAUGCGGGAGUGCCUUCGGGAAUUCACAUACAGGUGCUGCAUGGCUGUCGUCAGCUCGUGUCGUGAGAUGUUGGGUUAAGUCCCGCAACGAGCGCAACCCUUUUCCUUAUUUGCCAGCGGGUUAAGCCGGGAACUUUAAGGAUACUGCCAGUGACAAACUGGAGGAAGGCGGGGACGACGUCAAGUCAUCAUGGCCCUUACGACCAGGGCUACACACGUGCUACAAUGGUAGGUACAGAGGGUUGCUACACAGCGAUGUGAUGCUAAUCUCAAAAAGCCUAUCGUAGUCCGGAUUGGAGUCUGCAACUCGACUCCAUGAAGUCGGAAUCGCUAGUAAUCGCAGAUCAGAAUGCUGCGGUGAAUACGUUCCCGGGCCU